UUAGAUUGCUGCAAAAGUAAUUGUGGUUUUUGCCAUUGAAAGUAAUGGUCAAAAUCGCAAUUACUUUUGCACCAACCUAAUA
ensembl:miRNA